GACGAACGCUGGCGGCGUGGAUUAGGCAUGCAAGUCGAACGGUAUCAUCCUUUCGGGGGUGAGAGAGUGGCGAACUGGUGAGUAACACGUAGGUUAUCUACCCUCAAGACGGGGACAACCCAGGGAAACUUGGGCUAAUACCGGAUGUGAGCAACUUUUAGUUGUUUGAAAGGUGGCGUAAGCUGUCGCUUGGGGAUGAGCCUGCGUCCUAUUAGUUAGUUGGUGAGGUAACGGCUCACCUAGGCAAUGAUAGGUAGGCGGCCUUAACGGGUGGUCGCCCACACUGGGAUUGAGAUACGGCCCAGACUCCUACGGGAGGCAGCAGUCGAGAAUAGUCUACAAUGGUCGGAAGACUGAUAGUGCGACGCCGCGUGAACGAUGAAUCCCUUCGGGGUGUAAGUUCUUUUAUAUGUGAGCAGUGCUUCUUAUAUUAACAGUAUGGGGAGAGAGAUAUUAGCAUAUGAAUAAGCAACGGCUAACUCCGUGCCAGCAGCCGCGGUAACU
rnacentral:rRNA from 1 species